rnacentral:misc_RNA from 1 species
ACGUUAAAAAGCUGUCCUCGCUGAGGAGAGACAUCUAUGAGCUCCAGCGAACCUUUGUCACCAAAGGUUACCUGGUGGACAACCGCGAGCGUAGAUAGUUAUCACACUCGUGACGCCACCAAACACUGGGAGGCUGAUUCAUUUGAGAGGAGCUGACCACAGGCCAGCAAAACCCCCAAGGUCCAAGCUCAUCACGGCAAACCAUGAGAGUUGAGGUGUUCAUGAUACUCAAACAGGCAUGCCCCUCGGAAUAGCCAAGGGGCGCAAGGUGCGUUCAAAGAUUCGAUGAUUCACUGAAUUCUGCAAUUCACAUUACUUAUCGCAUUUCGCUGCGUUCUUCAUCGAUGCGAGAGCCAAGAGAUCCGUUGCUGAAAGUUGUAUUGUAUUGCGUUAGACGCGGCAUACAUUCCAUAAGACUUUAUUACAGUGUGUGUGUAAAGACAUAGAACCACGGAAGGAAGACGGGGUCCCCCAUACCGUAGAACUACAGAGGGUGCACAGGUGUGAGUGGAUGUGUAAACAGAGCGUGCACAUGUCCCCAUUUGAGGACCAGCAACAGCCCGUUUGACAAUUCAGUAAUGAUCCUUCC